rnacentral:rRNA from 1 species
AUUGAACGCUGGCGGCAGGCCUAACACAUGCAAGUCGGGCGGAUGAAGGGAGCUUGCUCCUGGAUUCAGCGGCGGACGGGUGAGUAAUGCCUAGGAAUCUGCCUGGCAGUGGGGGAUAACGUCCGGAAACGGGCGCUAAUACCGCAUACGUCCUGAGGGAGAAAGUGGGGGAUCUUCGGACCUCACGCUAUCAGAUGAGCCUAGGUCGGAUUAGCUAGUUGGUGGGGUAAAGGCCUACCAAGGCGACGAUCCGUAACUGGUCUGAGAGGAUGAUCAGUCACACUGGAACUGAGACACGGUCCAGACUCCUACGGGAGGCAGCAGUGGGGAAUAUUGGACGAUGGGCGAAAGCCUGAUCCAGCCAUGCCGCGUGUGUGAAGAAGGUCUUCGGAUUGUAAAGCACUUUAAGUUGGGAGGAAGGGCAGUAAGUUAAUACCUUGCUGUUUUGACGUUACCAACAGAAUAAGCACCGGCUAACUUCGUG